AUUUAUAGAAAAAUACAUUUGUAUUUGCAGGAUACACGUUAAGCUAACGAGAUGAAAACAUUGGCAAAAUAAUCAUCUUUUCGCAGUGUCGGCCUGGCUCAGAAGGCCCUCAUUUAAUUUAAGAUUUUUUAUCUCGCUGGACCACUGAGAAAAUUGUCCAACAAAUUUAAUUAUUAUUAAAAAAAGUGUUUACGAUUGUAAUUAUGCAGUGAAACUAACUCGGAAAACUCUGUACCUCGGAAAAUCCGCAAAAGUGGUUAUUAUGGGCGACUAUGUGUUUACAAGAAACGUAGUAAUUGACGUUUACACCAAUACACUUAUCAGCAACAAGUUUAUCGUUAAACAUACACGGUAUGUAAAAUAAUUAAGAAAACUAUACCUUCAUCAAAGCAAAACGCUUGUCGUCGCUCAAGUCCAAGUCCGUCCUUCUCGACAUGGCUUACACAAUAGAUAUGAACUACGAUGCUGAAAGUAAAAAUUAAAACUGGAAUUCGAUAGAAUCGAUGACGUCGUAAACGUAUGUAAAAAACUGAAACAGUGAACGGAACGUGCUUUGCGUUUACCGGUAAGCCGACUCCGUGCCAACUGCUGUUUACUGGCCGGCAAGACGUGUGUCGUCGGCCGUUGGUCGCUCCGUGAAGAGUUUCCCUUCCCUACAAGACAGUAACGAGGUGGCAGUGGCCUUAACACACUAUAAGCCAAAAGUUAUACAAUAACAAUGGUCAUCUGUUGAUAAUGAGGUUUUUGAUACAAACUCUAUCGUUGAAACUAAAAAUUGGCCAGAAUGUCUAUAUCUAGUUGAUUGCAAAAAUCUAAAUGAAACAGGUUUGUCUGCAAUUAAAGAGUUAUUUGAUGUUAACAUUUUGCAUAGAGACAUCAAAGUUAUCCAAAAAAGUGAGGUAUUAAUCAAGGAUAAAACUGAUCGAGUUCUUAUGAUGACCAAAUUGAAACAUAUUACUAUAAAAAUGGGUUAUCAACAGCAGUUGACGUCGACUAAAAAUAAACUAUCCCAAAACUAUAAAUUUGAUGUCUUUCUUAGCUAUUAGAUGUCGAAGUUGUUAAUACUAAGCGAUACACCAAACAUCGGUCUGAUGAUACCACUCAAUGAGUUAGCUCUUAACAGGGAAUGACUAGGUCAAUGUAUGAUCUGAUUAGCAAGAGUAUGGAUUGGAAUCUCUAAUUUUGACUAAAAAUUAUAAUGGCGCGAAUGUUCUAGUUACUACCCCUCAAUUGAC